GGGAAUAGGGAGGUGACCAGUAGGGAAUAGGGAGGUGACCAGUAGGGAAUAGGGAGGUGACCAGUAGGGAAUAGGGAGGUGACCAGUAGGGAAUAGGGAGGUGACAAGUAGGGAAUAGGGAGGUGACCAGUAGGGAAUGGGGAGGUGACCAGUAGGGAAUGGGGAGGUGACCAGUAGGGAAUAGGGAGGUGACCUGUAGGGAAUAGGAAUAUGACAUCAGAAAAUAGGAAGGUGACCAGUAGGGAAUAGGGAGGUGACCAGUAGGGAAUAUGGAGAUGACAGCAGGAAUAUGGAGAUGACAGCAGGGAAUAGGGAGAUGACCAGCAUGG